rnacentral:rRNA from 1 species
CCUACGGGGCGCAGCAGUGGGGAAUAUUGCACAAUGGGGGAAACCCUGAUGCAGCGACGCCGCGUGAGUGAAGAAGUAUUUCGGUAUGUAAAGCUCUAUCAGCAGGGAAGAUAAUGACGGUACCUGACUAAGAAGCCCCGGCUAACUACGUGCCAGCAGCCGCGGUAAUACGUAGGGGGCAAGCGUUAUCCGGAUUUACUGGGUGUAAAGGGUGCGUAGGUGGCAGGGCAAGUCAGAUGUGAAAGCCCGGGGCCCAACCCCGGAACUGCUCUGGAAACUGUGCGGCUAGAGUACUGGAGGGGCAG